rnacentral:rRNA from 1 species
AGCGAACGCUGGCGGCAGGCUUAACACAUGCAAGUCGAACGGGCAUAGCAAUAUGUCAGUGGCAGACGGGUGAGUAACGCGUGGGAACGUACCUUUUGGUUCGGAACAACACAGGGAAAUUUGUGCUAAUACCGGAUAAGCCCUUACGGGGAAAGAUUUAUCGCCGAAAGAUCGGCCCGCGUCUGAUUAGCUAGUUGGUAGGGUAAUGGCCUACCAAGGCGACGAUCAGUAGCUGGUCUGAGAGGAUGAUCAGCCACAUUGGGACUGAGACACGGCCCAAACUCCUACGGGAGGCAGCAGUGGGGAAUAUUGGACAAUGGGCGAAAGCCUGAUCCAGCCAUGCCGCGUGAGUGAUGAAGGCCCUAGGGUUGUAAAGCUCUUUUGUGCGUGAAGAUAAUGACGGUACCGCAAGAAUAAGCCCCGGCUAACUUCGUG